GAAGCUGACCAGACAGUCGCCGCUUCGUCGUCGUCCUUUCGGGGAGACGGGCGGAGGGGAGGAAAGUCCGGGCUCCAUAGGGCAGGGUGCCAGGUAACGCCUGGGGGGGGAAACCCACGACCAGUGCAACAGAGAGCAAACCGCCGAUGGCCCACGCAAGUGGGAUCAGGUAAGGGUGAAAGGGUGCGGUAAGAGCGCACCGCGCGGCUGGUAACAGUCCGUGGCACGGUAAACUCCACCCGGAGCAAGGCCAAAUAGGGGUUCAUAAGGUACGGCCCGUACUGAACCCGGGUAGGCUGCUUGAGCCAGUGAGCGAUUGCUGGCCUAGAUGAAUGACUGUCCACGACAGAACCCGGCUUAUCGGUCAG
rnacentral:RNase_P_RNA from 1 species